ACCAUUACGUCGAUAGACGCACUUGAUGCAGUGCCUACACAGAUAGUCUUGUUUAUAUUUAAAGAUGACUUAAAUAAAAGCCCUUAGCUUUGAUUUAAGAUCAAACCUAAGUGUUUUGAAUUAAGCACUAUGUUCUUUAACAAUUUGGAAAGCUGAUAUUAAUAGUAAUCAAUCAAAAUUGAGUAACUGAGAAGUCGAAAGACGUACUUUUUACUCUACUUGACUUGAAUUGCCUUGUUAUCAACAUUGAUUGAUAGCAAGGCAAUUCUUCCGAUUAGCUUGUCAUGCAUACAACAUUACCCUUGUCCGAAUUCAAAAGGCGGACAUGAGGCCGAUACUCAAGGCUUUUUAGGGUUGUAU
rnacentral:misc_RNA from 1 species